GAAGAAGAACAACCCUAAGUUCGUCUUGAAAACCAGGAGAAGAAACACUACAACAACAACAAGGCUACUCUAGCAGAAAGUUCUAAAACAAGAGAAAGAGAAACAACACAGUCUCGUAUCAAAAUGGUGCAGCAAUUUGUACAAGAAGACGAUCAGCUCAUGAAUAAGACUUAUCUCGAACCAAAUGACGUCAGGACUCGGUGUCGUUCCAGUGACAGCACGAGCAGCGAAGUCAGCGUCAGCAGCGUCAGCAGCGUCGACAGCCAGGCGUCAGCGGACUUCUGUUCGAAGCGUAACAAACCCAAGAAGAGUUUAACCGAGAGAAUUUUCAAAAAACACGAAAAGAAGAACAUUUUGAUGACCAACACUUUGCUCUCCUACAUGUCGGUGGACUCUUGAAGACAAUUUUAUAAUUAAUAUCACCAGGAAUUUCAUUUUAUAUUUAUUAUUGACUGAAUAUACUCGAUUAUAAGUUUAUAUAGUCAUUUUUACGCUACUCAAUCUAUCAUCUACCUAAUAUUCGCUGUAUCACGCAUAUAUAACCCUAAGCAUAUCAGCCUAUACAUUAUGUUCAUAAGCCCCCAACCAUUUAUAACCACAUUAGAAAUAAGUUACUUAAUGCAUAUAAAUAAAUAAUAUAAUAAAACAA